CCCCGUCCCCCUGCUCCCUUUGUCUCUCGUCCGUCUCUCAUUGUACUCAAGCUCGUCAUCCUCUGUCGUCGUUAUCUGUCUCUCUAUCCAAUCUCGUCUGUCCUGAGAAUGUGUAGUUGAAUAAGUUAUUUAGCGCGAGAUUCUUUUAUUUAAUCUCUUGUUGAAACUUGAAACAAACAUGAGCACAAGUUUUACCUCUCCUCACUUAUUGUUUAGUCCUUUUCUUUGGAUUUACAUUCUGAUCAUGUUUUUGGAUAGAUGGUUCUUUCUUUCUUUCUUUCUUUCUAAUGAUUUUUAGUUGCCAUUUGAGUUGCAUUGAACAGUGAUGAAGCCUGUUAGCAUGGACAUAAACACAAUCCAGUAGCUCCCUGUUAAUCCUCUCCCAUUUGCUAGGUUUUUUCCGUCAUCAACUGUAGCCUUUGGAAAAGGUGCUAAAGUAGAACACAAUUGUGUGUUUUGGAGACUGGUUCUGGCAAGACUUUGAUUACCACCAUACUACUGCGCAGUUAUGCCUAUCUUCUUCGCAAGCCUUCAUGUUGCCAAGCAUGACAGAUUAAGCUCCUUUCUUUUCUGCAUGUGUCUAUACUAUGCCAAGCAUAGAAUGUUAAAAAAAUGAGCCUUUUCUUUACUUCUCUGGGUAUGAACUAUUGUUGUAGAUUUUUAUUGUAAACAUGGGUUACUUGAAGAAGCUGAUCAGGUGUUUGAUAAAAUGACUCUUGAGAGAUUUAAGUAGAAAAAAGCAAUGAAAAAAGCAUAGUUAGGCAUCGUUAAGCCUAGCCAGCCAUCAAA